GGCGCACCGUUUCUCGCUUACCUGGCUUAAGGGGGUCGCCACCUCACCAUGUCACCCAGGACCCGCUGAACUAGUAAUGCCUGAGAAUGUCAGCGUUGAGAAAGGCUUUCCCACCUUCUGAGGCACGGCCAUAAGCACUGCGCGGUUUCCCACCACCACCACUGGUGAAUGCCCUCAGCCUGCACCCAGCUCAGCCAUAAUGGGGACAGCUCAGGUUUUGCCUGGCAUUCUGCAGAAGCAUUGCUGUAUCUUACCGGACAGGAAUACAGG